rnacentral:rRNA from 1 species
GGGGUGCACCGGCCUUCCCCUCCUUUCUGCCGGCGAUGCGCUCCUGUCCUUAACUGGACGGGUCGUGCCUCCGGCGCCUUUACUUUGAAAAAAUUAGAGUGCUCAAAGCAAGCGCACGCUCUGGAUACAUUAGCAUGGGAUAACAUCACAGGAUUUCUGUCCUAUUGUGUUGGCCUUCGGGAUCAGAGUAAUGAUAAAGAGGGACAGUCGGGGGCUUUCGUAUUUCAUAGUCAGAGGUGAAAUUCUUGGAUUUAUGAAAGACGAACCACUGCAAAAGCUUUUGCCAAGGAUGUUUUCAUUAAUCAAAAACAAAAGUUGGGGGCUCAAACACUAUCAUAUACCGUCUUAGUCUCAACCAUAAACGAUGCCGACCAGGGAUCGGCGGAUGUUGCUUUCAGGAGUCUGCCGGCACCCUAUGAGAAAUCAAAGUUUUUGGGUUCCGGGGGGAGUAUGGUCGCAAGGCCGAAACUUAAAGGAAUUGAGGGAAGGGCACCACCAGGAGUGGAGCCCGUGGGUUAAUUUGACUCAACACGGGGAAACUUACCAGGUCCAGACAUAGCAAGGAUUGACAGAGUGAGAGCUCUUUUUUGAUUUUAUGGGUGGUGGUGCAUGGCCGUUCUUAGUUGGUGGAGCGAUUUGUUGGGUUAAUUCCGUUAACGAACGAGACGUCAUCCUCCUAACAAGCUAUGCGGAGGCAUCCCUCCGCGGCCACUUGUUUGAGGGAGUAUGGC